CUCUUCUCAGACCCAUAGCAGCAGAAACCCACACUGCAGGACUCCCACCUCGGACUGACUAAGUUACUUGCAAGUAUAUGUAAAUCUCAUCUCCUUGGAAAAAUGCUAAAUAAUAAAACUGCCAACGUGCAGACCCAGGCGCUCAUUUCCCUGCCAGUGUAGCUCAUGUACCUCUGGGAUGUGCAAGCCGAAACACGUGUGCACGUCUGAGCGGCUGAACCAACAUGUAUCCAUAAACAUUAUGAAUAAUACUCGCGAGAAUGUACGGCUUUCUCCUAAGUAGCGCUUGAAGCACUUUACCCAAAUCAAGUCCCUUUUGUAUCACUCCUUCCCUGCCUUUCCUACCUAUCACUCUCGUGCUGAAAGUUGGAGCUCCUUACCCAAAGACUGGGCGGAAAGGGUGACCGCCCUGGACCCCUGCCCGACUUCCCGUUAGGCCAAGCCGCUGUCCUGAAAGGGGAUCGUGUCCAGGCCGGCUUCCUGGAGACACACCUGCGCCUGCACACACCCACCGCGGUCGCGUCACCAGUGCCGCGGCCACGUGGACGAAGACCAAAGUCUGGAGGGAAUUCCCUCAGCCACAAAGCGAUGGGAAAGCGGGACCCGGUGGAGACCAGAGUCUUGCUAUGCUUUCCAGGCUGGUUUUGAACUCCUAGCCUCAAGCGAUUUUCCUGCCUCAGCUUCCCAAAGUGCUGGGAUUACAGGCACAAGCCACUGCACCCGGCCCUGUUGUUGUUAAGAAAAUUACAAGUUAAAUCUUGUACCAGUGAACAAGAUUAGGGAUCGUGAUGUGGAGCUGCACUUCCUGGUUCCAAAUCCUGGCUCUUCCCCUCAUCCCUGGGUAAGUUGAGGGAUGAGAGCAAGAGAAGGUUGAUCCUGACUCAGAUCUCUGCAUGGGGCAUGUCACUGAUGACGGCGGCAUUCCCUGAGAGAGGGAACACUAAGUUUGAAGUUGGGCAUAGUGAGCACUAUUUUGGAUGAGUUAAGUUUAGAAGUGCCUGAAGACAUCCAAGUGGAAGAAGUGGCUGCAUGGACUGAAGAUACAGACUGGGAAACGUUAACACCAUCAAGGAACUGGAGUCCUGGGCACAGAAUAUGCUGCAAAGGGAGAAGAAGGAAGACGUGUGGUAUGGAAUCACCUAUGGAUAAGGUUGAGAACCAUGGGCUAGAUGCUAUGGAGACCAACGUAUCACUUACUAGGCUUUACUUUGUGCCAGGCACUGGAUUCGGCAUUACCCCAUUUAAGCCUCACUACCAUCCUUCAUGUUACUAUUCCACGUUGCCGCUCAGGAGAAACAAAAUUUUUUUAUUAAAUUCAAGUAACCUGAGGUCCCAUAUUUAGUAAGAGGCAGAGGAGUUAGAUGUGUCAAUAGCUAAAUUACAUGGCUGUGUCCUCUAGCUGGCCAGGGACUGACAACAUCAGUAUCACCUGGUGACUCUCCCAGGGGAGAUGUUUUUAAAAAUCUUUUCCAGUAAUUCUGUGCAACAUGGCAAUCUGAAACCAGUCUUUCAGACCUGGAAGUUCUUUAGAGACCACAGGACUCUCUUUGAUAUUUUUUCUUUUGAAUUUUUUUAAAAUACAGAAUCCUUUUUCAUGUUCUCUGUUUAUAAAACAACUGCAUGUCAAUUACAUUAUUUUUUAGAAGAUAGGUACAAGAGCCAGGCGUGGUGGCUCAUGGCUGUAAUCACAACACUUUGGGAGGUCGAGGCAGGUGGAUCAUUUGAGGCUGGAAGUUCGAGACCAGCCUGGCCAACAUGGCAAAACCUGUCUCUACUAAAAAUAUAAAAAAUUAGCCUGGAGUAGUGGUGCAUGUCCCAGCUACUCGGGAGGCUGAGGCAUGAAAAUCGCUUGAACCCGGGAGGUGCAGGUUGCAGUGAGCCAAGAUCGCACCACUGCACUCCAGCCUGGGCAACAGAGCAAGACUGUGUCUUGACAGCAACAAAAAAAGAAGAUAGGUAUAGGAAUUAAAAAGAAAGCAAAUAAUUACUGGUAGCCUGACCACUAAGAGAUAUAUACUGAUAUUUUUUUUGCGGGGGGUGCAUCUCCUUGCAGGCCUUUUUGUAUGUUUAUGUUCAAACACAUUUGUAACAACAAUGAAUAAAAAACGCAUAAUAUUCAAUGACUUUU
rnacentral:lncRNA from 1 species